AGGUGCGAUCACACCAACACUAAUUCAUCAGAUCCCAUCGGAACUCCGCAGUUAAGCAUUCUUGGGCGAGAGUUGUACUAGGAUGGGUGACCUCCUGGGAAGUCCUCUUGUUGAACCUC
rfam:Lupinus angustifolius cultivar Tanjil contig_4178, whole genome shotgun sequence.